GGGGUGUUAUGGCUUGUUAUAGGCUCUUUUGUUCCCACUGCCUGGCAGCCUGGUGAGCCAGCCAGGAGUAUCACAGCUCUUUCAUUCCCACAGUUCAACAAGUGGGAGGGCCGGCACCCAAUGGCUUCUUCUCUCCCAUCAUUUGGCAAGCAAGAGGGAGAGUUACAGCUCUUUUACUCCCACUGCCUGUGGCUCAGCGAGUUCCGGGUUCUUGUCCUGUGACCAAGAGGAAUAAGGUGGGUAGGGAGCAAGGAGGGAAGAGAACAUAAUUCAUUCCUGCGGAUCACAGUCUCCAGUUACUCCUGAUCUGAGUCAUUCUUUUUCCCAGUGAGAAUCAGGCGAUUUGCCACGAGAAGGACAUGGCCUGGUGGCUACUGCACCUUCAGCUUCCGCACACAUAAAUACAUAUGGAACACACCGGACCUAGUCUCCAGCCUGGAGCCAUGCCUACAGCAUGGCUGAAGCAUGAAGCAGGGCUAACUGGCCACAUUCAACCUCCAUCAGCUGAAGCACAAUACACCUGCAAACCUAUGAGUCUGAGAAUAAAGGCUUGUUAUUGAAAGCCACUAAGAUUUGGGGUGGUUUGUUAUCCAACAUUCUGAUGGCAACAGCAGUAAUAGAUCACCAGGUCUUUGUGAUUUUGCUUUUAAAUAAAUUCACUAAUUCUAAA
rnacentral:lncRNA from 1 species